CAACUCGACUGCAUGAAGCCGGAAUCGCUAGUAAUCGUGGAUCAGCCACGCCACGGUGAAUACGUUCCCGGGCCUUGUACACACCGCCCGUCACGCCAUGGAAGCUGGGGGGACCUGAAGCCGGUGGGCUAACUCGCAAGAGGGGCAGCCGUCAAAGGUCAAUUCAGUGACUGGGGCGAAGUCGUAACAAGGUAGCCGUAGGGGAACCUGCGGCUGGAUCACCUCCUUUCUGGA
rnacentral:rRNA from 1 species